rnacentral:lncRNA from 10 species
UGCCUCAGCCUCCCACGUAGCUGGGACUACAGGCACGCGCCACCAUGCCAGGCUAAUUGUUGUGUUUUUAGUAGAGACUGGGUUUCACCAUGUUGGCCUGGAUGGUCUCAAUCUCUUGACCUAGUGAUUCGCCUGCCUUGGCCUCCGAAAGUGCUGGGAUUACAGGCGUGAGCCACCGUGCCCGGCCAGGUAAUUACUUCUUACUAACACCAAACUAUCUGACCAGAGAAUUCAGUAGCAUUUAGUUAACAGUGUAUCCCAGUUUUAAAAAAACAAAUAGUAUGAAUGUGUCAUGCAACUUACAUAUCUUGUAAGGGACAAACAAGUUUUAGGCUUCAUUAUGUUAUGAUAAAUCUCAGUGUGAUGAUUUGGUCUGUGUCAAGAUGGACCACAUGGAAACAAAUUUUUAUUAUGAUUUAAGGCAUUAAAGCAGGCAUUAGUUAACUCUGUGAAAGUUCAAGUAACUGAUUAACUAUCAAAAACAGGUUAAUCAGUUAAAAACUGGUAGGAAUUUCUAUGGAAAUAGAGAAAAAAAAUUUGUUCACUGCCAUCUUUCAAUCAAAUCUACCUUUCGUGAGAAACUACCCGCACUAAAUAAGACAGAGUGGUACCUGCCAAUUACUCCAAUUUAUGUAGAAAAAAACCUCAUACAUCCUUCAUGCAAAAAUUAUACAUUUCUAAAACAUUGAAUUGGAACAUUCUUAUACAGUCAUGUAACUGUCAAAAUUUUCUAUCUAAAUCCCUAUUACCGAGUUCUUUUUAGGACCUGCACCCACUCUGGCAGUUUUAAGUAUUAAAUAAAUGUGGAAUAAGCCAAACAUUAAGAAUUCUGCUCAUGAGAUUAUUUACCUGGGUUUUCCUUUUUCUUGACAGGUGACCUUGCAUUUUGUGUUGCAGCAUUAUGUCAGCUAAAUUUUUCAUUUUAAAAUCUAAAAAAAUACAUUAAUGUGUAAACUGACCAUUCCAGUAGACACUUACAUAGAUGAGGAAAAGACAGUGGGUUGUGAUAGGUGGUUAAAGGUUCAUGUUAAUUUAAAAAUGAAAAUGGUUAAACUAAAUUCACAGUAAUGAUGUGUGUAUCUUCUAGCCAGCCUAGGAGUGUCACUGUUAAGGGAUGUGGUUACUCACUGAAUCAGGAAAAAUUUCAAUUUUAAACAAAGGGCAAGUUAACUCCUUAAGGUAAAUGUAAGAAAAGGCUCAAUUUCAACACCACCCGCAUCAUUCACCAAAUCAAAUCAUGUCAGCAUUGCAGAAUCUCAUGGCUUGAGGAAAGUUUGCAAAAAUAUAGAUCAUUUACUAGCGCCCAUGUGGGAUUUCUCGUAAGCCAUCACACACUGAAAAAUAUUUACAUCCCAAAAUAAAUUUAAUAUCUCAUUCUCUUCAUGCCCUUAUUGCUUUAACUACAGAAAAGCAGCUGUCCUCUUAACUCAAUCCUCAAAUAAAAACAGCCAGUUAAAUACAAGGUUGCCAGAGUCCUCAACACAAAUAUUGAAAUAUAACUUGUAAGCUUUAAGACAAUUUUAAAAAGAUGUUUUCAAGUAUAAUGACACAAAUUCAGCAGAGGAAGGUAAUAAGGUGAUUACAAAUAAUGGUUAACAAUAGAGAUCGGGGCAAACCCCUGCUGUGGCCCUUAGAGCUAAGUGAACUUUGGCAGAGAAUGUCAACAUUCUGUCUUGGAUUAUAUGCCAUUAAAGUGACAAAGGUAUGUAUCUCAAAAAGCUGCCAUGAGGAUUAAUAAUAUAUACAGAUACAGUGUCAUAA